rnacentral:rRNA from 1 species
CAGUCGCCGCGGUAAAACGAAGGGGGCUAGCGUUGUUCGGAAUUACUGGGCGUAAAGCGCACGUAGGCGGACAUUUAAGUCAGGGGUGAAAUCCCGGGGCUCAACCCCGGAACUGCCUUUGAUACUGGGUGUCUAGAGUAUGGAAGAGGUGAGUGGAAUUCCGAGUGUAGAGGUGAAAUUCGUAGAUAUUCGGAGGAACACCAGUGGCGAAGGCGGCUCACUGGUCCAUUACUGACGCUGAGGUGCGAAAGCGUGGGGAGCAAACAGGAUUAGAUACCCCAGUAGUCCCUGUCUCUUAUAC